UUGGAGCAACAGUACACACUCUGCUGAUUUGCAUAUGGAGUCACUAUACAACAGAUCAGGCUCCUUUAAGGGCACCUACCAGGAGCCUAAGAAGCAUCCUCUCUCCCAGCUCUCAGACAUGGAAACAGACACACUCCUGCUAUGGGUGCUGCUGCUCUGGGUUCCAGGCUCCACUGGUGACAUUGUGCUGACCCAGUCUCCUGCUUCUUUGGCUGUGUCUCUAGGGCAGAAGGCCACCAUCUCCUGCAAGGCAAGCCAAAGUGUCAGUGCUAGCAAUAAUUAUAUGCACUGGUACCAACAGAAACCAGGACAGCCACCCAAACUCCUCAUCUAUUUAGGAUCCAACCUAGCAUCUGGGGUCCCUGCCAGGUUCAGUGGCAGUGGGUCUGGGACAAACUUUACCCUCACCAUCAAUCCUGUGGAGGUUGAUGAUGCUGCAACCUAUUACUGUCAGCAAAGUAGGAAGGAUCCUCCCACAGUGCUCCAGGACUGA